UUGGCUUGUGAGUUCAGAGAUUUUAGUCUACAGUCAGCUGGCUCCAAGGUAAAAACAUCAUGGCGGAAGGGCACGGCAGAGGAGGGCUGCUCGGCCCACGGCAACUGGAAGCAGAGGGUGAGAGCAGGGAAAGAACCAGAGACAGAGGAAGGGCACAUUCCCAUGAUGGAAUUCCUCCAGCUAGUUCCCUCCUAACAGCCAUUCAGCUAAUGAACUCAUCAAUGGGUUGAUCUAUUGAUGAGGCCAGCAAUCUCACGAUCCGGUCAUCUCUCUGGGUCCCACCUCUGGACACUGCCACAUAAGUCUUUGGGGGACUCUUCAUGUUUAAACCAUAACAUGUUUCCAGGCCUUGUGGGUGGUCAACGGAAAGGAAUGUAGAUUCAGUGGCUUUCCCUUGAGCAUCGCCAAAGCGUUGUGAUUGGCCACCAGGGGGUGCAACUGAGUCAGGGACUCAGGACAAAGGAGGCCUCUCUGGGAGUGCUAGAGUGUGGAGGUGGGGCUGCCCAGCUGAGGUCGUGAUGUGUUCCCCCUACCAGGUUCAAAGGUGAAGCCCGAGGGGUCUUUCUGGUCAACCUUGAGAAGUCUGUUGAUGGUCCCCAGCAGGAGAAAGAUGGGAAGCAGCCAGGAAGUAGGUGCUUGAGGCAGCAUAGUGAGCCCCUUGGGUUCUGAUGGGCCUCACACGGCAGAGAGGGGCCCUGGGAGAAGGGAACCCCAAUGAUAAAGAGAAGACUGCAUGUGGUAGAGGUGUCUGGGCUGGCCUUGGGUCUCCCCAAGGUCAGGGCUAAGUAUGUGCCACGCAAAGCAGCCACUGCAGUCCCUCCCGAGGCCAGGUGAGAGCAGGCACACCUUCUGCAGUGAGGCAGCAGGAAUGCACCUGAGGGCCAGGACUUUGUUCGGGGAUUUCAGGAGCCUAGGAUGGGCAGGUGUGGAGAUGGUAGGAUAUAGCUCAGUGGCACCGCACCUGCCUGGCAAGCGCAAGGUCCUGAGUUCCAUCUCCAGUAUCCAAAACAAAAACCAAAACAAAACAAAACAACAAAAGCCAUAAUGCGUGAAUCAGCAGCUUCAGGAGUUUCUGCCAGCUCCCCCACAUAUGCUUUCAACUGAGGAACUGAACAUGGCCUUCCCAGCAUCCCAGAGCCCCCGGGCAGCUGCUGACCUGGUCCUGACAGGCUCGGCAGAGCUCAGCGUCUCACAGUCCCACUCUUGUUCCCUGGCUCCUCUCAGUGUUGUGCUAGCAUCACCCAAGGCGUUGCAUUUCAUGUGGUUUGUUCAGCAGGACCACACGCUACUCUGUGCAUAUUCCACUGUCUUCAUGGGAUGGUCAGUAUUUAGGUGGUUUCCAGUUCGGAAACCAUGAAAAGUGUAGGUGGAAACCUCCCUGCUCUUUGAGGUUUGGUUUUGGACCUGAAGGAGUGGGAUGGAGCCUGCUCCCUCCUCUUGAAAGUGGGGUUCAUGCUCCCCUGACAGGACUGUCAUGUGUAUUGUGAAAGCUGCUUACUCAGGGCUCAGCAUGAAGCAAGGGGCAGAAAUGGCAACAGGGCACGCAGGUCACCUGGACGGGGGGAGCUCUGGGACGUGGGCAAGCUGGCCUCUGAUAGGCAGCAGGUGAGGUGGUGGUGCCCAGCUGGUUGAGUAGUCCCUGUGCAUCCACUGUGCCAGCACUGAGCAGAACAGGGACAGGGCCUGAGCCGCUAAGCCCUACUGGUAAACUGAACUGCAGGAGGCGGGGCUGGAGGAUUAGAAAGCUCUGAGAAUGCCAGCGGCACCUGCCACAACCUCCUUGAAGCCUGGAAUCUGGGUUCCCUGGUUGCUGCAUCUGUGGAUGGGCUCCCAGGAACACUGGCUCUGUGGAGGGGACACUGAGGCCCCACUCCAAAGUCCUGUUUCCAGGGCUCUGGGAUUACAGGCGUGUAUUACCACAUCCAGCUAUUAGGGCCCACUUUGAUUAAGGGGCUUUCCCAGGCCUGAGGACUAAGGCUGCCUAAAAAGCUCCAAGUCAUACUAUCUUGCACCCAAAGGACCGUAAGUCUCUCCCUGGACAGGUGACAAGGCCUUCAGAAGCUGGGACACCACGGGGAGGCACCAGCAGCCAGGAUGUCCAUGCAGAGCAUCCUCUCCCUGAAACCUGAGACCCUGAGCCUGCCACCUGGGAUCUCAGAGUCCCCAAGCUGCCAGCGGCGCCACACGCUCCCUGCCAGUGAGUUUCGCUGCCUCACCCCGGAGGAUGCGGUCAGCAUGUUCGAGAUUGAGCGUGAAGCCUUUAUCUCUGUCUCGGGGGCCUGUCCCCUGGACCUGGCUGAGAUCCGGCACUUCCUGACUCUGUGUCCUGAGCUGUCCCUGGGGUGGUUCGAGGAGGGGAACCUUGUGGCCUUCGUCAUUGGCUCCCUUUGGGACAAGGAGAGACUCA